CCUACGGGAGGCAGCAGUGGGGGAUAUUGGACAAUGGGGGGAACCCUGAUCCAGCGACGCCGCGUGAGUGAAGAAGUAUCUCGGUAUGUAAAGCUCUAUCAGCAGGGAAGAAGAAAUGACGGUACCUGAGUAAGAAGCCCCGGCUAACUACGUGCCAGCAGCCGCGGUAAUACGUAGGGGGCAAGCGUUAUCCGGAAUUACUGGGUGUAAAGGGAGCGUAGACGGUGAUGUAAGUCUGGAGUGAAAGGCGGGGGCCCAACCCCCGGACUGCUCUGGAAACUAUGUGACUGGAGUGCAGGAGAGGUGAGCGGAAUUCCUAGUGUAGCGGUGAAAUGCGUAGAUAUUAGGAAGAACACCAGUGGCGAAGGCGGCUUUCUGGACUGAAACUGACGCUGAGGCACGAAAGCGUGGGGAGCGAACAGGAUUAGAUACCCCUGUAGUC
rnacentral:rRNA from 1 species